AUGGAUCGCUGGCGGCAUGCCUUACACAUGCAAGCCGAACGGCAGCACGGGAGCAAUCCUGGUGGCGAGUGGCGAACGGGUGAGUAAUACAUCGGAACGUGCCCAAUCGUGGGGGAUAAAGCAGCGAAAGCUGUGCUAAUACCGCAUACGAUCUACGGAUGAAAGCAGGGGAUCGCAAGACCUUGCGCGAAUGGAGCGGCCGAUGGCAGAUUAGGUAGUUGGUGAGGUAAAGGCUCACCAAGCCGUCGAUCUGUAGCUGGUCUGAGAGGACGACCAGCCACACUGGGACUGAGGCACGGCCCAGACUCCUACGGGAGGCAGCAGUGGGGAAUUUUGGACAAUGGGCGAAAGCCUGAUCCAGCCAUGCCGCGUGCAGGAUGAAGGCCUUCGGGUUGUAAACUGCUUUUGUACGGAACGAAACGGCCUUUUCUAAUAAAGAGGGCUAAUGACGGUACCGUAAGAAUAAGCACCGGCUAACUACGUGCCAGCAGCCGCGGUAAUACGUAGGGUGCAAGCGUUAAUCGGAAUUACUGGGCGUAAAGCGUGCGCAGGCGGUUAUGUAAGACAGUUGUGAAAUCCCCGGGCUCAACCUGGGAACUGCAUCUGUGACUGCAUAGCUAGAGUACGGUAGAGGGGGAUGGAAUUCCGCGUGUAGCAGUGAAAUGCGUAGAUAUGCGGAGGAACACCGAUGGCGAAGGCAAUCCCCUGGACCUGUACUGACGCUCAUGCACGAAAGCGUGGGGAGCAAACAGG
rnacentral:rRNA from 1 species